AUUGAACGCUAGCGGGAUGCCUUACACAUGCAAGUCGAACGGAGUGGCGAACGGGUGAGUAAUGUAUCGGAACGUGCACAGUAGCGGGGGAUAAAUACGAGAAAGCGUAGCUAAUACCGCAUACUAUGUGAGCGGCUGAUAUCGGAGUAGCUCGUUGGUGGGGUAACGGCUCACCAAUGCGACGAUCCGUAGCUGGUUCGCGAGGACGACCAGCCACACUGGGACUGGGACACGGCCCAGACUCCUGCGGGAGGCAGCAGUGGGGAAUUUUGGACAAUGGGUGAAACCCUGAUCCAGCCAUCCCGCGUGUGCGAUGAAGGCCUUCGGGUUGUAAAGCACUUUUGGCAGGAAAGCGGUACCUGCACAAUAAGCACCGGCUAACUACGUGCCAGCAGCCGCGGUAAUAC
rnacentral:rRNA from 1 species